GAGAAAACAGAACUGUUGUCUCGAUACAAACUGAAGGAAUCACAGCUGCCCCGUAUACAGCAAGGAGAUCCCGUUGCCCGAUACUUUGGUUUAAAGAGAGGACAGGUGGUAAAGAUUAUCAGAAACUCUGAAACUGCAGGAAGAUACGUGAGCUAUCGAUUGGUUGUGUGAAAGAAGAGGAAAAGUUAUAUUAGAGGACAUCUACAUUUGAGUUUUCGGGCUUUACAACAUGCAACUACUGCAAGUGCAAUAACAUCCAUGUACUGGGGUACAUAGGAGAGGAUACAAUGGAAAUGUACAUAAUGAAGAACUUGAUUGUAAGAUGAAAAAAUAACCUUAAUGAAAGGUUUUGUUCUUGUGUGAACACAUCUCCAAUUCAAAAGAAAUGUGUUAUGUCAUUCUUUUUAAAGAUUGUUCACCCCGUCUGUGGAUUUCAUCGUCAUGCAUAUGUAUACUGUAUUUUUAUACACAAAAAUAACCAUUAAAAAAUGAAGUCUG
rnacentral:misc_RNA from 1 species